CCGGAUCUCAGAUCAAGUAAGAUUACCCGCCGAAUUUAAGCAUAUAAUUAAGCGGAGGAAAAGAAACUAACU
rnacentral:rRNA from 1 species